UACGGAGGGGACUAGCGUUGUUCGGAAUUACUGGGCGUAAAGCGCGCGGAGGAGGCUUUGUUAGUCGGGUGUGAAAGCCCCGGGCUCAACCUGGGAACUGCAUCCGAUACUGCAGAGCUUGAGAGCGGAAUAGGGUCGUGGAAUUCCCAGUGUAGAGGUGAAAUUCGUAGAUAUUGGGAAGAACACCAGUUGCGAAGGCGGCGACCUGGUCCGUUUCUGACGCUGAGGCGCGAAAGCGUGGGGAGCAAACAGG
rnacentral:rRNA from 1 species